rnacentral:rRNA from 1 species
GACGAACGCUGGCGGCGUGCCUAACACAUGCAAGUCGAACGGAAAGGCCCUGCUUUUGCGGGGUGGUCGAGUGGCGAACGGGUGAGUAACACGUGAGUAACCUGCCCCUGACAUUGGGAUAACUUCAGGAAACUGGGGCUAAUACCGGAUAGGAGCUCCUGCUGCAUGGUGGGGGAUGGAAAGAUUCGGCGGUUUUGGCUGGACUCGCGGCUUAUCAGCUUGUUGGUGGAGUAGUGGCUGACCAAGGCUUCGACGGGUAGGCGGCCUGAGAGGGUGACCGGCCACCUUGGGACUGCGGUACGGCCCAGUCUCCUACGGGACGCAGCAGUCGAGAGUCUUACGCAAUGGGCGCGAGCCUGAUGCGGCAGCGCCGCGUGCGGGAUACCGGCCUUCGAGUUGUGAACCGCUUUCGCCUGUGACGAAGCGUGAGUGACGGUAAUGAGUAAGAAAGCACCGGCUAACUACGUG